AAGCGUCGUAGUUGAAUUUCGGGAUUAGUACGUCGGUCGUGCCUUAGGUACGUACUGGUGUUACUGGUUCCUACCUUCUGACGAACCAUCAUGUCAUUAAUUUGGUGUGGUGGGGAAUCAGGACUGUUACUUUGAAAAAAUUAGAGUGUUUAAAGCAGGCUCGCGCUUGAAUACAUUAGCAUGGAAUAAUGAAAUAGGACGUUGAUCCUAUUUUGUUGGUUUCUAGGAUUGACGUAAUGAUUAAUAGGGAAUAGUUGGG
rnacentral:rRNA from 1 species